GUUAGGAAUAUUGGACAAUGGGCGCAAGCCUGAUCCAGCCAUGCCGCGUGAACGAUGAAGGCCUUCGGGUUGUAAAGUUCUUUAGCCGAUGAUUAUAAUGACUGUAGUCGGAAAAUAAGCCCCGGCUAACUUCGUGCCAGCAGCCGCGGUAAUACGAAGGGGGCGAGCGUUAUUCGGAAUCACUGGGCGUAAAGCGUGCGUAGGCGGUCUCGUAAGUUAGGAGUGAAAGCCCAGGGCUCAACCUUGGAAUUGCUCUUAAAACUGCAAGGCUAGAAUCUCGGAGAGGAUAGCGGAAUUGUCAGUGUAGCAGUGAAAUGCGUAGAUAUUGACAGGAACACCAGUGGCGUAAGCGGCUAUCUGGACCGACAUUGACGCUGAGGCACGAAAGCGUGGGGAUCAAACAGGAUUAGAUACCCGGGUAGUCC
rnacentral:rRNA from 1 species